UCCCAAGCUUGCUGAGAACAACUCCGCCCAAUACGUGGAAGGAAGCAGUUACCGUUUCUGUCACCACGCAUGACCGUGGAGCGCACCUGUGACCACAGGAGGAGGUGACACAUGCAAGGCCACAGGGAAUGUCAGUGUGGGAACCCAGCCGUGGCACCUCUGUUCGCUCAGGUACACCCGUGAAGCCGGGGAGACGCCACUGCUGAUAGGACCAGGGGCUCCAGGCACCACCAUUUGCUGUUGGGGUGGCAUCGGCCAAGCCAUUUCACUACAUACAUUCCAGGCCUGCUAGCUGUUCAGUCUUGGGCAGGAUGCUUAUGUGCACAUACACUAUGUUCCAUUUUCUGUGAACUGGAGAAAGUGGUAACCCUCCUUAGAUGUACAAAAGGACAAAAAAAUCUCUGUAAUCUACUGAGGACAGAACCUGGCCCAGUCAGGUUGGUCUCGAACUCAGUAUGCAUCCAGGAAUGACCUUGAACUUCUGAGUCUCCUGCUUCUACCUCUCGAGUGCUGGGAUUACAGACAUGAGCCACACCUUGUCUAUGCAGUGCUGGCGAUCCAGCCCAGGACUCCAUGCUUGCUGGGUUGAUGCUCAUGUAUCCUCAAGUCUCAUCUCAAACCUUAUUCCUCCUCUGAGAUGCCUUCCAGGACACUUGCAGCUUGGGUAGGUGUCUUUCUCUUUCUACAGCCCAGUGCCAACUAGUCCUUCCAUGAACCCACUUCUGAACACAUUUGGACAUGGGAUUUAGUUCUUAGAUGAGCGACGUCUGCCUGUUUUCCUGAGCUGCGCCUUCUGAGAGCAAAGGUCGGGCGUGUCUUAGCUCGCUAGGUGUCUUACACUCACCAUAGUACUAAGUGCUACUUGAACAACUAAGUGGACCACACACGAGAGUUCUUAAACUGGGAGGUGGGGAGAUGACGGCUCGGUUGGUUCAGUGCCUUCCAUUUAAACACAAGUGCCUGAGUUUGGAUUCUCAGAACCCGUAUAAAAAAGCCAGGCUCGGGGCGGGGUGUGGUAGAACAUGCCUGUAAUCCCAGAGGCUGGCCGACCUCUGUGAGUCCUAGACCAGCCAGGGAUACACAAUAAAACCCUGUCUUUGGGGAAAAAAAAAAGCCAGGCUUGAAGGCAUAUACCUGUAACCCUGCUGCCGCAAGGGUGGAGACAGGAAGAUCCCCAGAGCUGGUCUAGCCAGUUAGCUGAAUGCCAAAUUCAGCAAGAGACUCUGACUCAAAAGACAAGGUGGGAAGAACAGUAGAAGACAUAAUACUUACCUCCACAUGCGUGCACACACACCAACAUGCACACACACAAACAUGCACACAUUUAAAAAACGGAGGGCCAACAAGAUGCUCAGCAGGUCAAGGCACUUGCUGUACAAGCCUUGCGAGCCUGACAACCUGAGUUCUAUCCCAGGGAGCCAGGUAAAGGUCGAAGAGGAGAACAGACUCCACAGAGUUGUCCUCUGACCCUGGCACACACGCUCAUGUACGCACAUCAUUCACACACACACAUCUUGCACAUACAUACAACAAGAAAUAAAUAAAUAAAAAUUUAAAAAGAAAGAGUUCUUCAAUUCUGUGUCUUCAAGAACCAGUAAUAAGAUGUUAGUGAGGUCUGGUGAGGCUUGUAAUCUCAGCUAUCAGGAGACUGAGGCAGGAGGAUGGUGAGUAUGAGGCCAGCCUGGGCUACAGAGUGAGUUCAAGGCUAGCUUAGUGGGACCCUGCCUGAAAAUAAAAAGUAAAACAAGGGCUCGUGGAAUAGCUCAGUGGUAGAAUGUUGGGAGUUUGUCCAGGAUGUUUAAAUGUUUAAGUGCAAUCCCUCAUCACACACACACACACACACAACUUCACACACAUGCGUUCCUGCCUCUGCUGACUUAAGUUCUUCCUGAAACACUUGGUUCAGGAAGAGUCUUCUCUGGUCAUCCCGGGUACCGAGGCCAUUACCCAUCCUGGCAUCUCUGCACACCUGACCUGAGGUCGGGGGCUGGUCCCUGUCCACAGGUUAGCACCUCGCCUCCCCGUUAGAGGGAAGCCCUUUGGGAGCAGAAGGAGGGACCCUCUGAUUCAGUUUCUCUACAGUAUUUAGUGAUGAACUGUACCCAUCGAAGGUACCGACUGACACCUCGGGCUGUUGGACAUCGGUGGUCUGCUUGGCACAUGUCUCUGCUGCCUGUCAAUGGUACCCCACAGUGGGAAACCACAGUGGGAUGACAUGUAGGUGUGAUGAACUCCACUUCCUGCCACUGGGUUUCCUCUCCAAAGCCAUAGUAAUGAGCGCAGAGCUGGCAAGGGGCCCAAACAGUCAAACGUCUAGGAACAAAAUGCUUUCCUUCCUUCUUCAUUCAUUCACUCAUUCAUUCAUUCCUUUAUUAACUUAUUAAUUAAUCUAUGUAUUUCAAGCCAGGGUCUCACUCGGUUGCCCAGGCUGGCCUAUAACACACUAUUUCUAUCUCAGGCUGGCCUUGAACUUAUGACCCUUCUCCCUCAGCCUCCCAAGGUGUGGGCCAGUUUAUUAUGCAUCCCAGGGUGGCCUUCAGUUGAUCUCUGGCUAUUUUAGGUUGGUCUUCUUUCUAGACAGAUGUAGCUCAGGCUGCCUCAAAUUUGUUAUAUAGCCAAGUAUGGCCCUGAAACUGUAGUCCCCCUGCUUCUACCUUCCUAGGGCUAGGAUCACAGUUGUGCAUCACUACACCCAGUUUAUGUAGUACUGGGGAUCAAACCUAGGGCUUCAUUGAUGAUCCGAGCCACUGAGGCCUGGAACCCACAAGAAAAUGCGGAAUAAGCUGACUCUGGAAAGUCGUCCUCUUAUUUCCACAUGUACACCUGCAUUUACAUACAAAGGAAAACACACACAGAUACACACACACACACACACACACACACAUACCCAUACCACACACACUCACUUGAUAAUGC